AGAGGAAAAUCCGUCGACUUUUAAAAUCGUGAGG
rnacentral:tRNA from 1 species